CGGCCCGCAAGGGUCAGUCGAGCGGCGAACGGGUGAGUAACGCGUGGAUUAUCUACCCUGAGGUGGGGGAUAACCCGGGGAAACUCGGGCUAAUACCGCAUAUGACCGCGAGGUCAAAGGGGGGUCGCAAGAUCUCUCGCCAUAGGAGGAGUCCGCGUUCGAUUAGCUAGUUGGUAGGGUAAUGGCCUACCAAGGCGACGAUCGAUAGCCGGCCUGAGAGGGUGAUCGGCCACACUGGAACUGAGACACGGUCCAGACUCCUACGGGAGGCAGCAGUGGGGAAUUUUGCGCAAUGGGCUAACGCCUGACGCAGCAACGCCGCGUGGAGGAUGAAGGUCUUUGGAUUGUAAACUCCUGUCGACCGGGAAAAAGCAACUCGACCUCAUACGUCGGGAAGUUGAUUGUACCGGUGGAGGAAGCCCCGGCUAACUCUGUGCCAGCAGCCGCGGUAAUACAGAGGGGGCAAGCGUUAUUCGGAAUUAUUGGGCGUAAAGGGCGCGUAGGCGGCCUGGCAAGUGGAAGGUGAAAUCCCUCGGCUUAACCGAGGAACUGCCCUCCAAACUGCUUGGCUUGAGUCCGGGAGAGGUGAGUGGAAUUCCCAGUGUAGCGGUGAAAUGCGUAGAUAUUGGGAGGAACACCAGUGGCGAAGGCGGCUCACUGGACCGGAACUGACGCUGAGGCGCGAAAGCGUGGGGAGCAAACGGGAUUAGAUACCCCGGUAGUCCACGCCGUAAACGAUGAGUGCUUGGUGUAGCGGGUAUCGACCCCUGCUGUGCCGAAGUCAACACAUUAAGCACUCCGCCUGGGGAGUACGGUCGCAAGGCUGAAACUC
rnacentral:rRNA from 1 species